GGUGUCUGGCUGUAUCUCCAGACUCACACAGCAAUAAACUGUGAGUGCACAGCACGCCUUUCAAACCACCUUUCUACACCCCCCAUGAUACCACAACCCUUCCACGUUCCCCCCCUUCAUUGUUCCUUAAAGGAUUCUCCACAUUAGGUGUCGGGGGGGCCGGGUGUGCACGUGUCAGGGUGGAGGGGGUGGUAUCACGGACCAGGCUUGUCUUCCGAAUGAGCAUUUGUCCCUCUGCCGCAUACAGCAGAACAAAAGGAGAGAGGAAACACUGGCUUAAAAUGUUAUAUAUAAUUGGCAGAGCUUAAUUUUUAUGUGUUGACUACGUGGAGAGGUCAUAUUCAGCCUGUGUUGACGGCGAAUAUUUUAGAGAAUGUCAAAUUUACUGAAGACUUCCUUGUUGAAGAAAAAAGAAAGCCAUCAAAUUAAAUAGUGUUUAUAUAAAACAGAUAUUGCUUUAGAAAACAACAACUGCAGGUGGUGUUGAAGUUAUUAAUGUUGGUAAAAUAACAUGCGAGUGGAUGUUAUUAAUGCUGGUUUGAAGUUAUUAAUGCAUUUGGUUUGAAGUUAUUAAUGCUGGUUUGAAGUUAUUAAUGCAUUUGGUUUGAAGUUAUUAAUACUGGUGAAAUCACAUUUGUUGCAUAUCUGUCUAAUAUACAACAUCCCCAAACAGCACCCUGGUUUGGUUGUAAAAACCGGGUUCCGGACAUAUUUGAGGAAUUGCGUGUACCUCUUGCAACUACAUUUUUCCAAUUUGAACACUGUAUACACACACCACUUAUUUUCUGGUUAUCCAGUUUUGUUUUAACCAUACAUACAUUGACUUGGUUUAAAAAAGCAACAUUCAUUACUUGCAAGUACUUACUGUUGAGUAACUGCUGCAAAUUGGGAGCAAGAAUUAAACUUAGUAAAAUAGUCCCUCAUCGCCCCACCAGCCAUUGGACUGUCCCCAGGAGCUAAAGCUUUCCCACAGCUGCAGCUGCUCCCAGUGAACCUCUCUGCCCUGGGCCACAAACCCUGUGAGAGGCUGGCGUCUCCUAACUGCUCUUCCGGAGAACCGUGUCAUCCUGCGUAUGAAUGUAUGAAUGGCCUGAGCGACAGACGACCCUGGCUGCGGAGGCCGGCACUUGUUGCUAAACGGCAAGCGUGAUUCACCAAGCUGGAGAGCGUCCCACUGACUUGCUCUGUUUCAUGAGCAAAUUAAAGGCCACAACAGACCAUUUUAACACUAAACCUCUGUGUGGAGAGGCACCGAGCUCUGGGAAAAUUAUGAAUGAAAUAGUCGAUACCCACCUAAAUAUGGACAAACCAAUAACAGCUUCCUAUUGGCCACGCUCAGUCCUGUACAGAGUAUAACAUUUUAAUGUAAGAUAUUUUGGUCAUUUAUAGGAACUUUUAAAGCUAGCAAUCACCUAGACGCCUAAGCUAGUACAUGCUUUUACUGACAUUCUAUUACAUCAGAAAGAGGCUAGACAAUACCAUUUAAAGAGGUGCAUAUUUUUGCACGAGGUAAAGCAAAAAAAAAAAA
ensembl:lncRNA